AUCCUUUUGUAGUUCAUGAGCAUGAUGAUUGGGUGUUCACACGCUUGUGUGAGAUGUGCCACCCUCUAACCUUGUUACGACGCCUGCACAUUAUCCAUCUGACC